rnacentral:rRNA from 1 species
UUGCCUCAGUAACGGCGAGUGAAGCGGCAACAGCUCAAAUUUGAAAUCUGGCCGUUCGGCGGUCCGAGUUGUAAUUUGUAGAGGAUGCUUCGGGUGCGGCGCCGGUCUAAGUUCCUUGGAACAGGACGUCAUAGAGGGUGAGAAUCCCGUAUGUGACCGGCGACCUGGCCCGUGUGAAGCUCCUUCAACGAGUCGAGUUGUUUGGGAAUGCAGCUCUAAGCGGGUGGUAAAUUUCAUCUAAAGCUAAAUACCGGCCAGAGACCGAUAGCGCACAAGUAGAGUGAUCGAAAGAUGAAAAGCACUUUGGAAAGAGAGUUAAAAAGUACGUGAAAUUGUUGAAAGGGAAGCGCUUGCGACCAGACUUGCUCACGGGCGAUCAGCCGUCCUUCUGGGCGGUGCACUCGCCGGUGAUCAGGCCAGCAUCGGUUCAGGCGGCCGGAUAAAGGCCCCGGGAACGUGGCUCCCCUCGGGGAGUGUUAUAGCCCGGGGUGCAAUGCGGCCCGCCGGGACCGAGGACCGCGCUUCGGCUAGGAUGCUGGCGUAAUGGUCGUAAGCGACCCGUCUUGAAACACGGACCAAGGAGUCUAACAUCUGUGCGAGUGUUUGGGUGUCAAACCCAUGCGCGGAAUGAAAGUGAACGGAGGUGGGAACCCUUCAGGGUGCACCAUCGACCGAUCCUGAUGUCUUCGGAUGGAUUUGAGUAAGAGCAUAGCUGUUGGGACCCGAAAGAUGGUGAACUAUGCCUGAAUAGGGUGAAGCCAGAGGAAACUCUGGUGGAGGCUCGCAGCGGUUCUGACGUGCAAAUCGAUCGUCAAAUUUGGGUAUAGGGGCGAAAGACUAAUCGAACCAUCUAGUA